AGAUUUUUAUUAUUUAUAAUAUUGGUUCAAUUUUUUUAUAAAAAAUAUUUUAUUGUUAAGUACUUUUUAGGGAAAAAUUUUUUAUAAUUAUAGCUUAUUCUACCGUAAGGGGUUUAAUUUAAUUAAAUUAAAGAAGUUUUUAAUUAGCGUACCUUUUGUAUCAGGGUUAAUUAAUUUAAUUUAGUUAUUUAAUUUUCCCGAAAUUAAGUGAAAUAAUGCUUUAUGAUGUUUUGUAUUGUAACACAAUCAAUAAUAGGGCAUUAGGUGUGAUAUUCAAUUCGAACUUAAUAUAUCUGGUUUCUUAAGAAUUGAAUUUAAUUCAGGUAGUAUUUAUAUAAUAAAUUCCAUUAUGGUAAAUACUUACUAAUAUUGUUGGGGAUUAGCUCGAUAAUAAUUUUAUAAUUUUAUUAUAAAUUUGAGGGAAGUAGGCUUAGAAUCAGCUAUCUUAAAAUCGUUAUAGAUAACCUUUAUAAUUUAUUUUAUUUAUUAAAAUUUAGGUUUUUAUUAAGACAGAUUAUUUGACUAUCUAAUAUUUAUGAAAAUGAUUAAAUGAGUAUAAUAUAUAACUAUGUUAUAGGAAUUCGGCAAUUAUGAUUCUCGCCUGUUUAACAAAAACAUGUCCUUUAGAAGUUUAUUUAAGGUUUGACCUGCCCAAUGAUGUUUAAAUGGCCGCGGUAUUUUGACCGUGCAAAGGUAGCAUAAUCAUUUGUCCUUUAAUUGGGGACUAGAAUGAAUGGUUGGACGAGGAAUCUCCUUUCUUUUACAUAAAAAUUAGAAUUUUUCUUUUUAGUCAAAAGACUAAAAUGUCCUUAUAGGACGAGAAGACCCUAUAGAACUUUAUUUAUUAUCAUAGUUCCUCAAUUUUUUGAUUACUUGAGGAAUUAUGAUAUGUGAAUUUUGUUGGGGUGACAUGAAAAUUUUUUUAACUUUUUUUAUUAAAGCUCAUUUAUUUUUGAUUGUGUGAUCCAUAGUUUUAUGAUUAUAAGAUUAAGUUACCUUAGGGAUAACAGCGUUAUUUUAUUGGAGAGUUCAUAUCGAUGAUAAAGUUUGCGACCUCGAUGUUGGAUUAAAGUAAGUAGUGGGAGUAGAAAUUCAUUUACUGGGUCUGUUCGACCCUUAAUUUUUUACAUGAUCUGAGUUCAAACCGGCGUGAGCCAGGUUGGUUUCUAUCCUUAAUUUUAUUUAACAUUUUAGUACGAAAGGGCCAAGUGUUUCAAUUAUAUUGUUUGCUUCUUUGAAUUA
rnacentral:rRNA from 1 species